rnacentral:rRNA from 1 species
GAGGCGAACCGGGGGAACUGAAACAUCUAAGUACCCCGAGGAAAAGAAAUCAACCGAGAUUCCCCCAGUAGCGGCGAGCGAACGGGGAGCAGCCCAGAGCCUGAAUCAGUAUGUGUGUUAGUGGAAGCGUCUGGAAAGGCGCGCGAUACAGGGUGACAGCCCCGUACACAAAAAUGCACAUGCUGUGAGCUCGAUGAGUAGGGCGGGACACGUGGUAUCCUGUCUGAAUAUGGGGGGACCAUCCUCCAAGGCUAAAUACUCCUGACUGACCGAUAGUGAACCAGUACCGUGAGGGAAAGGCGAAAAGAACCCCGGCGAGGGGAGUGAAAAAGAACCUGAAACCGUGUACGUACAAGCAGUGGGAGCACGCUUAGGCGUGUGACUGCGUACCUUUUGUAUAAUGGGUCAGCGACUUAUAUUCUGUAGCAAGGUUAACCGAAUAGGGGAGCCGAAGGGAAACCGAGUCUUAACUGGGCGUUAAGUUGCAGGGUAUAGACCCGAAACCCGGUGAUCUAGCCAUGGGCAGGUUGAAGGUUGGGUAACACUAACUGGAGGACCGAACCGACUAAUGUUGAAAAAUUAGCGGAUGACUUGUGGCUGGGGGUGAAAGGCCAAUCAAACCGGGAGAUAGCUGGUUCUCCCCGAAAGCUAUUUAGGUAGCGCCUCGUGAAUUCAUCUCCGGGGGUAGAGCACUGUUUCGGCAAGGGGGUCAUCCCGACUUACCAACCCGAUGCAAACUGCGAAUACCGGAGAAUGUUAUCACGGGAGACACACGGCGGGUGCUAACGUCCGUCGUGAAGAGGGAAACAACCCAGACCGCCAGCUAAGGUCCCAAAGUCAUGGUUAAGUGGGAAACGAUGUGGGAAGGCCCAGACAGCCAGGAUGUUGGCUUAGAAGCAGCCAUCAUUUAAAGAAAGCGUAAUAGCUCACUGGUCGAGUCGGCCUGCGCGGAAGAUGUAACGGGGCUAAACCAUGCAC